GACGAACGCUGGCGGCGUGCCUAAUACAUGCGAGUAGAACGCUGAAGAGAGGAGCUUGCUCUUCUUGGAUGAGUUGCGAACGGGUGAGUAACGCGUAGGUAACCUGCCUUGUAGCGGGGGAUAACUAUUGGAAACGAUAGCUAAUACCGCAUAACAAUGGAUGACACAUGUCAUUUAUUUGAAAGGGGCAAUUGCUCCACUACAAGAUGGACCUGCGUUGUAUUAGCUAGUAGGUGAGGUAAUGGCUCACCUAGGCGACGAUACAUAGCCGACCUGAGAGGGGGAUCGGCCACACUGGGACUGAGACACGGCCCAGACUCCUACGGGAGGCAGCAGUAGGGAAUCUUCGGCAAUGGGGGCAACCCUGACCGAGCAACGCCGCGUGAGUGAAGAAGGUUUUCGGAUCGUAAAGCUCUGUUGUAAGUCAAGAACGGGUGUGAGAGUGGAAAGUUCACACUGUGACGGUAGCUUACCAGAAAGGGACGGCUAACUACGUG
rnacentral:rRNA from 1 species